UCUUAUCAUGUUUGUGGACAACAGGAUAGUGUGCCAAAUAUGAAGAGCCUGUUCCACAACCCGUCUUAAACCUCAGAGUGCUCUUGAGCAAGGCAGUUAAUCCCCUGCAGCUGCAGGACGGUUGUUAUGUAACUGACACAUGAUCGUGACAGCUGAAUUUAUCUCCUGGCAUCAGCAGAGGACGGUGUCACCAUGAAAGCUUUUCAAUAAAUAUUUGAAAUUACACGUCGUGUCUGACAAACCUAAAGGCGAUAAUUAGUCAUGCAGUUUAUUUACCUGAUCAUAUGUUUUAAAUACAUCCACUAUUUGUGUUUCACCUAUAUAGAUUUUGCUUUUACUCACCCUGGUUUCAUCUGAAUGAUUUUGCUGCCUCUUUAGAGAAUCUGAAGCUGCGCUGAUGAAGAUCAUGUGAUACGACUGAAAGCUCCAGAGCUAUUACACGAGGAGAACUUCUUAACUGACCCACAAUUAGAAGUUAAUACUUUUCAUAGUUAAUGUUUUUAGAUGCAAAUUAACUGAAAACACGUUGAUGAGUUGAGGAAAUCUUCCUGCGCCUCCAUCCUUACAGAUGGAAGAGCAACACACUGUGGAAGAAACAAGGGAAAUAACUGAGUAAGCCUCCAGAAAAGUCCAUAUACUCAUUAUAUAAAGUAGCAGUGAAAGUGGGAAUAACAUCCACCCGGCAGAGUGUAUAUCCUGCACUUUUUAUAUCAUUGCCUGGAACUCGGCCACCGGUCCUCCAGUCUGAUGAAGGGAUUUUUAAGGAAAUGAGAAACAGUUGGUGAUAUCUCAGGUUGACAUGAGAAAAAACUCAUGUUAUUUUCAUUGGGUUAUGUAAGUGAGGUUUGGUCUCUGCUAAAUUACAGAUAAAUUAUUUGCUUUUUCAUUGUUAUUAAAAAAAAUAAAUCUUAACAACAUUUUUUGUUUUAUUUCCAGAAUUUCUGGAAUAUCGGUGGACUAAAACCGACUCCUUCUCCAGAGAGAGGCUUUUAAAGCUUCGCCACAGAGGACUUGAGAGGGAUUUUUAUUUUUUUUUUUCCUGUCUGAAAUGAAACACUGCAAAACCAGAACAGACGUGAACACACAAGAAAAGAAGCUCAUCACAGUGAGGAGCUGAAUACCAAGACAUCCACCACAGCAUUUUCAUAAAUGCAGCCGUUUAAGAGUCUAAACAGCUCCACUAAUCAACAGCGUCUGGAUCUGUGGUCGCUCUAUAUUUAGCUCCACAGUUCUCACAUCUCACGUCUCUGCUCAGCCCACCUACAAGAACUCCUGAUGCAUUUUCUGGAGAAGCUCAGGGAAGGAAAAGAAAAAAAAAAAAGUUUAAUAAUGGCAACUGCUUAUAUUAGUCUCCAUGGUAAUGACAGUGAACUUACAGCAUCAUACGGGCCUCGCACAGACACUGACAAAUCUUCUCUGAAGGCUGCAUGACGGCGCCGUCUCUCGACAUGCGAUCUGAAGUGGCAGCAGAGGAACCAGACGUGAUGAGUGAGAGAAGUUGCGGAGGAUUAACUGACUGACGCCUGAGAGUUUGGAUUCCCAAACUCAACAGUACUGGAACUAACUGCUUGUCUUUCGGCUGAUCUGCACAGCGCGUUGUGUGGAAAGGUGUCGUAAAUCAUCCGCACGUUGAUAACGGCGACACAGACAAGGUGUUUAUCACAGAUUUCCUCACAACAAACAAUCAAUAACAUCAAUAGACACACAGUUUAGUAAAAUUAACUUUCAUUAUUCCAAUAAAUAUGACAUGAACUCCUUUGUAAGCUCAAAUUUGAAUCUGUUAUUCAGACGCUUUCGUUAUUGAACAGUAAUCAGUGUCUUCAGACGACAUUAUUGAUUAGAAAAAUGCACCUCUACAUUUAUUUCUACCAGCUUCCUCCUGGUCUCUGCUGCCAUUGUUCUGUCAUUUCUGAGGGGCCCCUGAGGAUCAUGUGAUAUGACCAAAAGCUCCGGAACAUCUACUAAAUGGACCUUGUGGUCGAGCAGCAGGUCACGCAAAGGAGUCCGGACGUCCGUCUCCUCAGCAACGUUUUCCAGCUCCUCCUGGGGGGGGUUUCCGAGGCGUUCCCAGACCAGAUGAGAUAUAUAAUCUCUCCAGCGUGUUCUGGAUCCACGGCGAGGACUCCUACCGGUCGGACGUGCCUGGAAAGCCUCCAAUGGAUGGCGCUCAGUAGGUUUCCUAAACAGAUGCCAAAAACCUCCUCGGCUGGCUAGAUACUGACACGAAAAGGAGCCCAAAGAAAUGACAUGGCGCCAGUUCCCUGCGGGCCCACCAGCUGCGGGGACAGGCGCUGAGUGCGGGGUGCAAUGCAAGCCGCGUGUGCCAUUCCCCGACUUCAUAGACUAGGUCCAAGUACAGCAAUGAUUAUCUUGUCAAACGAGACAAAAAUUCUGGUUACUUUAAAUAACAAAGAGCACAGCACAUCCUCCAGUUUCAGUUCAGCAGUUUGGGGUUAAUUUAAAGUUGAAAACACACUUUGUCCAUUUUCAAGGCUCCGCUGUAACGAAGCUGCACAUUCUGACAUGGACGGUUAGUGAACAAGGUGAAGACGUCGUUUUUCAUUUCAUGGGGACUUUAACUGGAAGGAAGUUCUUACAUAAGCUGCAGUCACAUGGCCACAUUUUAAGGUUCAGGUUGGACUUAUUUCAUAUUUGGCAGCCUGUGUGGCGCGGCAGAUAGCUUAUUAAUUAAGUCAGACAGUCACAGUGGAUCAGUAAACAUGCGGCGAUGGAGGAUUCCUGUGCGUUUCCUCUCUGCCAGCUUUUCCUCUCUGCAGUGCUGCAGGCGUGAGAGUGAAAGAGCAGUGCAGGUGUCAAACCGCUCGUCUUUCUUCAGCACACAUCCUAAUCCCCGAGCAACCUCUCCAUCACUCCACUACAGAGAUCAUUUACAUAUCAAGGUUGCAGAUAUAGAGGAGUGGACGUGACUUACCAGUCCACGCUGAAAGCGAGGGGAAAGGGACCUAAUUGAACUUUGGCGUCUCGGAGACUCAUUUGCAUGAAUGUUUUUCACGCAGAGUGACACUGCACUGUCUUCAGCUGAGCUCCGGGGAAUUUCUUUGCUACUGAAUGAACUCACUGUUGUAACUAUCCAGAGCAGGGAGGAAGUGCAACAGCACAGAUUGAUGGAUGAUUGUCGGGCAGAUCCCAAUCAGGAGCACAAGUACAAUAUGCAGCGAGAUAAUAAGGCGGUGACGGUAUUUUGAUAAGAAACCUCAUUUAAAGCGUUCUGGAUGUCCUCAGCUGUGGCGAGGUCGGCCUUAUUGUUGUUACCGCUCUUUGUGUCGUCCUGUAUUCCUAAUGAUGAACACAUUUUAAAGCUGCUCACAAGCUAAUUUAUGGCGGUAGCAGAAGCACUCAAAAGCUUUUAAUACUAUAAAGGAUGAAACUGAAAUACCGGCCUUACCUUGACUUGAAGAUGAAGAUCAGCUGACUCAUGGGUAAUGUCUUCUGUGGCUGUGGAGGAGCUUUGUCAAGAGUCAGUUACAUUAACCCCUGAUUAUUACAAACUGUGGGUGUGGACCUCUAAAGACGAGGACAUUUACAUUUCAGGAACUGGACUCCCAAAAAGGUUCACCACUUAUUCCAAUGAGAGCUGCUCAGUGAGGACAAUGUGGACACAAGGUUUCCAUUACAUUGGAAAGAUAUCACACUAUGGCUCUGGAAAAGUUUAACAAAUAUUGAACCUUCAGUGGUUCAAAAUAAUAUAAUUCAAAAUGUUCUUUUGUA